rnacentral:ncRNA from 1 species
CAUCAAGGAUGCCCUCUCCUUAGGCUACGAAGUCAGUGGUGAAAGUUUGUCGCUCAACGAUAAAAUUGCCGUUGAAACUGGUGGUCUUGAGUAUGGAUGAAGUAGGCGGAAUGCGUGGUGUAGCGGUGAAAUGCAUAGAGAUCACGCAGAACUCCGAUUGCGAAGGCAGCUUACUAAGGCAUAACUGACACUGAAGCACGAAAGCGUGGGUAUCAAACAGGAUUAGAU